AUUGAACGCUGGCGGCAGGCCUAACACAUGCAAGUCGAGCGGAGAGGCGGACGGGUGAGUGCGGCCUAGGAAGCUGCCUGGUAGUGGGGGAUCCAGUACGGGAAGAGGCGCUUAUACCGCAGACUUUCAGAGGAGUCUAGGUCGGAUUAGAUAGAUGGAGGGGCAAAGGCCUACCAAGGCGACGAUGCGUAACUGGUCUGAGAGGAUGAUCAGUCACACUGGAACUGAGACACGGUCCAGACUCCUACGGGAGGCAGCAGUGGGGAAUAUUGGACAAUGGGCGAAAGCCUGAUCCAGCCAUGCCGCGUGUGUGAAGAAGGUCUUCGGAUUGUAAAGCACUUUAAGUUGGGAGGCGUUACCAACAGAGUAAGCACCGGCUAACUUCGUGCCAGCAGCCGCGGUAAUUC
rnacentral:rRNA from 1 species